rnacentral:rRNA from 1 species
UACGUAGGGUGCAAGCGUUAUCCGGAAUUAUUGGGCGUAAAGAGCUCGUAGGCGGUUUGUCGCGUCUGCUGUGAAAACUGGAGGCUCAACCUCCAGCCUGCAGUGGGUACGGGCAGACUAGAGUGCGGUAGGGGAGAUUGGAAUUCCUGGUGUAGCGGUGGAAUGCGCAGAUAUCAGGAGGAACACCGAUGGCGAAGGCAGAUCUCUGGGCCGUAACUGACGCUGAGGAGCGAAAGCAUGGGGAGCGAAUGGG